rnacentral:rRNA from 1 species
GACGAACGCUGGCGGCGUGCCUAAUACAUGCAAGUCGAGCGGACGAAUCGAACGCUUGCUUGUGAUUCGUUAGCGGCGGACGUGUGAAUAACGCGUGUACAACCUCCCCUGUAGACGGGGAUAACACCGAGAAAUCGGUUCUAAUAGCGGAUAACACGCAGUGUCGCAUUGCGGUUCGUUGAAAUACGGCGCAAGGUGUCGCUACAGGAGGGUCCCGCGGCGCAUGAGGUGGUUGGUGUGGUAACGGCUCACCAAGGCGACGAUGCGUAGCGGCCAUGAGAGGGUGAUCGGCCACACUGGGACUGAGACACGGCCCAGAGUCCUACGGGAGGCAGCAGUAGGGAAUCUUCCGCAAUGGGCGAAAGUCUGACGGAGCAACGCCGCGUGAGGGAAGAAGGCAUUCGGGUCGGAAAGCUCUGUUGUUAGGGAAGAACAAGUAACGCAGUAACUGGCGUUACCGUGACGGUAACUAACGAGAAAGCCACGGCUAACUACGUG